rnacentral:rRNA from 1 species
AUUGAACGCUGGCGGCAUGCCUUACACAUGCAAGUCGAACGGUAACAGGUCUUCGGAUGCUGACGAGUGGCGAACGGGUGAGUAAUACAUCGGAACGUGCCCGAGAGUGGGGGAUAACGAAGCGAAAGCUUUGCUAAUACCGCAUACGAUCUCAGGAUGAAAGCAGGGGAUCGCAAGGCCUUGCGCUCACGGAGCGGCCGAUGGCAGAUUAGGUAGUUGGUGGGAUAAAAGCUUACCAAGCCGACGAUCUGUAGCUGGUCUGAGAGGACGACCAGCCACACUGGGACUGAGACACGGCCCAGACUCCUACGGGAGGCAGCAGUGGGGAAUUUUGGACAAUGGGCGCAAGCCUGAUCCAGCCAUGCCGCGUGCAGGAUGAAGGCCUUCGGGUUGUAAACUGCUUUUGUACGGAACGAAAAGACUCUGGUUAAUACCUGGGGUCCAUGACGGUACCGUAAGAAUAAGCACCGGCUAACUACGUGCCAGCAGCCGCGGUAAUACGUAGGGUGCGAGCGUUAAUCGGAAUUACUGGGCGUAAAGCGUGCGCAGGCGGUUAUGUAAGACAGAUGUGAAAUCCCCGGGCUCAACCUGGGAACUGCAUUUGUGACUGCAUAGCUAGAGUACGGCAGAGGGGGAUGGAAUUCCGCGUGUAGCAGUGAAAUGCGUAGAUAUGCGGAGGAACACCGAUGGCGAAGGCAAUCCCCUGGGCCUGUACUGACGCUCAUGCACGAAAGCGUGGGGAGCAAACAGG